CACACACACACACACAUCUCACAUACUCCCUACCCCCCGCGCCAACCACCACCUUUGCCUCGCUCUGCUUUUUCAAAUCUUUUUGAAACCUUUUGCAGAUUGCAACAUAUAUAUAUUCUUUCUACCCGACUAGUUGGUCUUGCAGAAGCGGCGGUGCACUUGCUGUUGUGGUCCCGUGCCUUUUGUCUCAAUCCGUCUCCGAUGGCGCUGUGAUCGUGGAAUAUACUUCUUGAGUCUUUGCUCGCACCUUGAGAAAAUUGUGGUGUGACGCAAACGGCAGAGUUAAUAUCUUCGAAUAUGGUUGAGUAGACUUGUGAUGUGAAUCUAAGUUUUGAAGAAGCUUCAUUGUUGCCCUCUAUUUGCUAUUCAACAACACGCGGCCGUAUGCAGUGGUCUGCAACAUUGAUUGGCGUUUUCCUCUGGAAAUGUCGCUAAUGUUCGUGUAAGCAUUUGAGCAGACAAGUCAUGGCAUACGUAUUGUUCCAAAGAGAAGACAUACGUUUGAUUGUCUGAUUAAUUUCUAUAGUACUGCAGUAUCCUUAUGGUGUCUGGUAGUGCAAACGGAAGUUGAGCAGAUCACCUUCCCAUUACAACAUUACCAACUGAGGGAGCAGUUUCCGAAUUAAAAUUGGAAAUCAAUUGCCCCUUUAUAAAAAGCCAAGAAGGGAUUUCUUAGAGGGUAACAGCCGUAUGGAUCUCCCGAAGCCUGUGACACAGUUUCUUAAUGAGCUGGAAAUUCACCUCAAGGAGAAGUCCUUGAUGGUAUGCGCCGCAACAUUUGUCUGGUCAUUUGCGGUUUUCCGGAACUUCGGUUUCAAGCUGGUAUAAGUUGGGCGAUGAAGAUGCCGAGGCUUAUUGUGCUUCAUAAAACAGGAUGGUGGACAACAGGCUUCUGGUGCAGAUCACCAAUGAGGAAGACCACUCCAGAAUCUUCACCAGAAAUGCCAACAACUUACAUAAUCGUGAAAGAACAAUCUCUAGGGAACCACUCGCAAUGACCAAGAGUUCCUCUCCAGUAUACGAAGCAGAGCAGUCACUAAUAAACAUCGCGUAAGAGUCCCAACCGCUGAGCAAUUCCGAAUGAACGCCUUCACCAGUCUAGUUGACCGAGCCACGAGUUGAUCCAAACAAGAAGAAGUGCUCAUCACAGAACACUCUGUAUCACCAAGAAAUCGCGCCACAACGUUUUCCUGGCAUCACAUUCCACAGGGUCAGGGUCUGCAUCUUUGCUCCUGCUCGACUGGUAAACAACAACCGACAUCACAUCGUCAACGUCUACAAAUACAACAGGCAUGUUCUUUUACUUAAGCUGUGCACGCACGGCACUCCUCGAAAGCCAGCUAAAAAUUACAAUUUAAUGAUCAGAGCGAAUAGGGCAAGCGGCACAGAACAGGUAAGAGUAAAUCGCAAAACCAGAUUGCAUUCAGUUCUAAAUGCUGUGUGGUCGUAGAGGAUGCAUAAACCACGAGGUCGCUGCUCUCGUGUGCAAUGAAGACGACAGCCUCUCUUUCUGGCCACGGGUGCGUUGCAUUCUCGGCAACGUUGAGCGAUGCUUUCUAAGCUUUCAUGGAGGGAAGGGCCUCCAUGUCUGUGAACUGGGAAGACCGUCGUUUCCAGUUUCAAUUGUGCCAGUCUGAAUGCCUCCUUUAUGCCUUAGUUUCGUCGUGUAAAAACUUAAUACAAGGACUGGGAAUAUUUUGUGUCUGCUGUAAAAUCUUGGAUAGAGCAACAAUUCUCUUGUGAAUGAUGAAAAUAAAAAUAAACAAGAUGUUGGUGUAAUUUUUUUUA